rnacentral:rRNA from 1 species
UACAGAGGUCUCAAGCGUUGUUCGGAUUCAUUGGGCGUAAAGGGUGCGUAGGUGGCGCGGUAAGUCGGGUGUGAAAUUUCGGAGCUUAACUCCGAAACUGCAUUCGAUACUGCCGUGCUUGAGGACUGGAGAGGAGACUGGAAUUUACGGUGUAGCGGUGAAAUGCGUAGAUAUCGUAAGGAAGACCAGUGGCGAAGGCGGGUCUCUGGACAGUUCCUGACGCUGAGGCACGAAGGCCAAGGGAGCAAACGGG